rnacentral:rRNA from 1 species
AUGAGAGGCUGGAAGGAGAGGAUGCUUUCUUUUGGCGGGAAAGAAGUGUUGUUGAAGGCUGUUAUUCAAGCCAUCCCAUCGUACGCCAUGCUUGUGUUCAAACUCCCAAAACAGAUUUGCAACGCGAUAACAACUGUUGUGUCUCAGUUUUGGUGGGGAGAUGAGGAUGUGAAGAAGCACAUGCACUGGUUUGCGUGGUGGAAGAUGUGUGUACCUAAGAGCAUGGGUGGUAUGGGAUUCAGAGAUGUACAUUGUUUUAACCUGGCCCUCCUAGCUAAACAAUGCUGGCGACUGCUUGCAGAACCAGAAUCACUAUGUGCGAGAGUUUUGAGAGCAAAAUAUUUUCCAGAUGGUGAUCUACUAAACUGCACCCUUAAGAAAGGGAGUUCCUUCACUUGGCAGAGUCUGUGA